rnacentral:rRNA from 1 species
AACGAACGCUGGCGGCAUGCCUAACACAUGCAAGUCGAACGAAGCCUUCGGGCUUUGUGGCGGACGGGUGCGUAACGCGUGGGAAUUUGCACUUAGGUGCGGAACAACUUGGGGAAACUUGAGCUAAUACCGCAUAAUUACUCCGGUCCAAAGAUUUAUGGCCUAAGGAUGAGCCCGUGUCGGAUUAGCUAGUUGGUGAGGGAAAGGCUCACCAAGGCGACGAUCCGUAGCUGGGCUGAGAGGAUAGAUCAGCAAAACUGGGACGGAGACACGACCCAGACUCCUACGGGAGGCAGCAGUGGGGAAUAUUGGACAAUGGGCGAAAGCCUGAUACAGCAAUGCCGCGUGAGUGAUGAAGGCCUUAGGGUUGUAAAGCUCUUUUACCCGGGAUGAUAAUGACAGUACCGGGAGAAUAAGCCCCGGCUAACUCCGUGCCAGCAGCCGCGGUAA